rnacentral:lncRNA from 1 species
GACAGGGGGGAUAUGAUAGAAACAUUUAAAUAUAUAAAGGGAAUCAACACAGUAAAGGAGGAGACUAUAUUUAAAAGAAGAAAAACUACCACAACAAGAGGACAUAGUCUUAAAUUAGAGGGACAAAGGUUUAAAAAUAAUAUCAGGAAGUAUUACUUUACUGAGAGGGUAGUGGAUGCAUGGAAUAGCCUUCCAGCUGAAGUGGUAGAGGUUAACACAGUAAAGGAGUUUAAGCAUGCGUGGGAUAGGCAUAAGGCUAUCCUAACUAUAAGAUAAGGCCAGGGACUAAUGAAAGUAUUUAGAAAAUUGGGCGGACUAGAUGGGCCGAAUGGUUCUUAUCUGCCGUCACAUUCGAUGUUUCUAUGUUCUCACUGAGCACACCCACUUCUUCAUAUCUUGUACCAUAUGCCUUGCUAGCACAUGGUUAGACCUCCUCUUGUCCUACUAUUAGGCAAUGCAUAUUCAGCUGGAUAUUAUGCUCCAAAAUGUUCGGUUUAUUUGAAUGCCAUGUUCAUGUUAUGACAAUUUUUUACUUGCAGUGCUUGCUGGAGGUGGUGUGGCUUUCUUUGUAAGCAUGUUUGUUCUCUUACACCUUUUUCUUUUCUUUUAGUUUUUUUUUUUUUGUUUUGUUAAAAGAGGCAUGAUUGAUCUAACUGUGAUCUUGACAUACCCAUUCCUGACAUACCGUAAUAUUUACUAUAGUACUGAAUACUAUAUCUCUGCCUCAAUAAAAACAGAGAAUGACCAAAAAAUGUUUUUGAAAUUUUAUUAUGUAGAAAAGUGAUCCUUCUUUGAUUAAGGCCAUCUUCCAAAACUCUGAUAAAUCUGCUGGAAUGUUAUAAUGUAAGCCUAAGGGCAGGGCUUUCUCUAUUCUGUGCCAGUAUGUUGAAUUAUAGAUUGUUCUGUCUGUAUCACCUUGUCCAUGCACAAUAUACUAUAUCCUGCAUAAGUGGACUGUAUAAAAAAGUUGAAACAAAAAAAAAAAGGUCAACUAUAAUAAAAUGGAUGGUUAUGAGACUUUCUUAGAAUUAUAUUGUAUUUAACAAAAAAAACCCCCAAAAAACGGCUUGGCAGGAAUGUUUAUUUGCGUUACAUACAUUCCUGAAGCUCUGAAGUUGAUACAGGCAAGCAAUGGGAGUGUAUUGCUAUGGCCAUUAUCUAAUAUUACAAGUUUUUAGAAUGAAAAGUAUUUUUUAAACCGUGCACUUUGUCUUUAAGAGAUUUUGCAAACUGAAAGGUUGAUAGAAACUGAACAUGUUUUUUUCCAUACAAUGUUUCUUUAAUAAAUGACCUCUUACCCAUAUUCAAUGAAUAUAGUGUUCAGACUUUAAGACAUCUUGUCCCAAGAUAGUGGAAUUCUCCAUUCAGAGAAUUUCCCAUGUCAUGUCCUACCUUAAAGGGAAACUCCAGGCAGCUAAACAAGUUAAGCUUAAGUUAAAGCUAAUAAACUCAAAAUACUUCUGAUUAGUUUCUCUUCUUUAAAUUCUUUGUAGUUUUCCUACAGUGCUGUAAAAUGUUUUUCUGUUUUCCAGCCUGCUUAGCCAUACCCCUCUGACAAUACAACAUGUUCCUGAUUCCCAGUCUCUGAAAGAAACGUACCUUUUGCAGCCAAU